UACGUAGGGGGCUAGCGUUGUCCGGAAUCAUUGGGCGUAAAGCGCGUGUAGGCGGUCCGGUAAGUCCGCUGUGAAAGUCGGGGGCUCAACCCUCGAAUGCCGGUGGAUACUGUCGGGCUAGAGUGCGGAAGAGGCGAGUGGAAUUCCUGGUGUAGCGGUGAAAUGCGCAGAUAUCAGGAGGAACACCUAUUGCGAAGGCAGCUCGCUGGGGACGUAACUGACGCUGAGACGCGAAAGCGUGGGGAGCAAACAGG
rnacentral:rRNA from 1 species